AUUGAACGCUGGCGGCAGGCUUAACACAUGCAAGUCGAGCGGGGGAAGGUAGCUUGCCACCGGACCUAGCGGCGGACGGGUGAGUAAUGCUUAGGAAUCUGCCUAUUAGUGGGGGACAACAUCUCGAAAGGGAUGCUAAUACCGCAUACGUCCUACGGGAGAAAGCAGGGGAUCACUUGUGACCUUGCGCUAAUAGAUGAGCCUAAGUCGGAUUAGCUAGUUGGUGGGGUAAAGGCCUACCAAGGCGACGAUCUGUAGCGGGUCUGAGAGGAUGAUCCGCCACACUGGGACUGAGACACGGCCCAGACUCCUACGGGAGGCAGCAGUGGGGAAUAUUGGACAAUGGGCGGAAGCCUGAUCCAGCCAUGCCGCGUGUGUGAAGAAGGCCUUUUGGUUGUAAAGCACUUUAAGCGAGGAGGAGGCUACUUGGAUUAAUACUCUAGGAUAGUGGACGUUACUCGCAGAAUAAGCACCGGCUAACUCUGUGCCAGCCGCCGCGGUAA
rnacentral:rRNA from 1 species